UCGGGAAUUUUGGGCAAUGGGCGAAAGCCUGACCCAGCAACGCCGCGUGAAGGAUGAAGUAUUUCGGUAUGUAAACUUCGAAAGAAUAGGAAGAAUAAAUGACGGUACUAUUUAUAAGGUCCGGCUAACUACGUGCCAGCAGCCGCGGUAAUACGUAGGGACCAAGCGUUGUUCGGAUUUACUGGGCGUAAAGGGCGCGUAGGCGGCAAUUCAAGUCAUCUGUGAAAUCUCCGGGCUUAACUCGGAACGGUCAGAUGAUACUGCUUUGCUAGAGUGCAGAAGGGGCAAUCGGAAUUCUUGGUGUAGCGGUGAAAUGCGUAGAUAUCAAGAGGAACACCUGAGGCGAAGGCGAGUUGCUAGGCUGACACUGACGCUGAGGUACGAAAGCUAGGGGAGCGAACGGGAUUAGAUACCCGGGUAGUCCCUGAGCGGGCUGGCAAGGCGCAU
rnacentral:rRNA from 1 species